rnacentral:rRNA from 1 species
UACGUAGGGGGCAAGCGUUGUCCGGAUUUAUUGGGCGUAAAGAGCGUGUAGGCGGCCAGACAGGUCCGUUGUGAAAACUCGAGGCUCAACCUCGAGACGCCGAUGGAAACCAUCUGGCUAGAGUCCGGAAGAGGAGAGUGGAAUUCCUGGUGUAGCGGUGAAAUGCGCAGAUAUCAGGAAGAACACCCGUGGCGAAGGCGGCUCUCUGGUACGUGACUGACGCUGAGACGCGAAAGCGUGGGGAGCAAACAGG